UACGUAGGGGGCAAGCGUUGUCCGGAAUCAUUGGGCGUAAAGAGCGUGUCGGCGGCUUGGUAAGUCCGCUGUGAAAGUCCAGGGCUCAACCCUGGAAAGCCGGUGGAAACUGUCAAGCUUGAGUCCGGAAGAGGCGAGUGGAAUUCCUGGUGUAGCGGUGAAAUGCGCAGAUAUCAGGAGGAACACCAAUGGCGAAGGCAGCUCGCUGGGACGGUACUGACGCUGAGACGCGAAAGCGUGGGGAGCAAACAGG
rnacentral:rRNA from 1 species